rnacentral:misc_RNA from 1 species
UGGUACUUGGAAUAAAAUGAUGAAAACCAGUAAUGAAAGUGAACUCUAUUGACAGUUGCUUACUUCCAUCUAACCUGAAAGUGCAUAUGUUUGGUUGUGGACUAUUUGAGUAACGGGCUGAUAGCUGAAAUCAUUUUAAUAUAAGAACCAUUUAGGUAGGCUUUAUAAUCUUUGUUCAGUUUUUGGGACAAGCAGUAUUCUGUUUUUCAAUUUGCAAGCAGUUUGUUAGCUUCAAUAUUUGGUUUUGAUGAUCAUUAGGUCCAAAAAGUUAAUUGGGACAGAAUAUAACCAGUAAUGAAAGUUGAUUGGUAUUGCAUGUUUAUGUGCUUCACUAUUUAGAAAAUUCAAUCAAGCUAUUUG